CCCAGGUAUACCCUUCACGUUCACAAAGUAUCCCCAGGUAUACCCUUCACGUUCACAAAGUAUCCCCAGGUAUACCCUUCACGUUCACAAAGUAUCCCCAGGUAUACCCUUCACCUUCAGAAAGUAUCCCCAGGUAUACCCUUCACGUUCACAAAGUAUCCCCAGGUAUACCCUUCACGUUCACAAAUUAUCCCCAGGUAUACCCUUCACGUUCACAAAGUAUCCCCAGGUAUACCCUUCACGUUCACAAAGUAUCCCCAGGUAUACCCUUCACGUUCACAAAGUAUCCCCAGGAUACCCUUCACCUUCAGAAAGUAUCCCCAGGUAUACCCUUCACGUUCACAAAGUAGCAACACUUCCUGGUUGUCGUACUCUGGAGAUGUCGUCUGUAAGUUUAUUUAGGCACAGGUAAACAUAAGUAUAAUUAUCAAUAGUGAAUAAUGUAGUAAAAAAGCGAAUGCCAGCUAAAAUUCCUGUAUAGCAGGUGGUGUUUAUCUACUGAAGCUCGCAGGACCUUAUGUCUAGCUCUUAAUCAAUUAUCGUAUAUAUUAUUUUUGUUCUUCACGGUACUCUGAUUUAAUUAAAAAAAAAAAAAGACUACAAAUCAUCCAGGACAAAAUGGUGAGAUUCAUCCUGGACCGGUCCAAGGUAGGUUGUAGGCCAGGAUGAAUUACAACAACUGGAUAUACUGAAUUUCGAAGACAGAAGCAAAGCAACUGGAGUUUAAUUAUGUUUAUAAAAUUGCUCACAAGCAGUGUCCAGACUAACUUGCUGCCAAGUUUGUCAAAGUUAGGAAUCAAAGCCAUUAUAUUACUACGGGAAAGUGAACACGGGUGUUGUAGUACCUACAGUAGAUGGUGAAGCCUCAAACACCUUGUAUUAUACAGCAAUAAGAAGUGGAACGGAUUCCUUGAUCAUGUCAAAGACUGUCCUAGAAUGAACCAGUUCAGAAAGAGAGCUAAAAGAUACGUAAUGAAUGAAGCUACAGAAAGGGAGGAGAGUGAUUUCUUGUAUAGUUAUCAUUGGUGUACCUGUUAUUGUAAACUGAUCCUCUCUAUAAUGUUCCUGUAAAUAACUAAACUUCAUUUUAUUCUUACUGUAUCUCCUUUUAUUGUAACUGAUUUUCACACAAUUGAGUUAGUUGUUCUAACGUUUAAGGUUAUAAUCAUGACUGAUUCUUACUGUAACUUACUGCUAGACUUUAAAUAAUAAGAUAUUACAAGGACCCCAUAAUUUGCAUAUAUGUUAAACUAGGAAGGAUAAUUGUACUGUUUACCCGUACCUAAAUAAAUUUACUUAUGACCUA